AAAUUAUAUAUAUACAAUAUAAUAAACAAAAUGUCAGGAACAUUUUUAAUACUUGCUGGACAAAGAUCUGCAUAUAAAUGGCUUAAACAUUGUCGUAUAUCAUAUUUAUAUAAGGAUGUAAGGAUUAAAGACUCACGUGUUCAUAGUAUAGCACAAUACUGUAUUUCUGUGAAAGAUAAAGAUGACUUAUCUAAGGUAAAGGACUUUAAAUAUGAAAAUGUAGCAAAUGCAAAC